ACGGAGGGUGCAAGCGUUAUCCGGAUUCACUGGGUUUAAAGGGUGCGUAGGUGGGCUAGUAAGUCCGUGGUGAAAUCUCUGAGCUUAACUCGGAAACUGCCGUGGAUACUAUUAGUCUUGAAUCUCGUGGAGGUAAGCGGAAUAUGUCAUGUAGCGGUGAAAUGCUUAGAUAUGACAUAGAACACCGAUAGCGAAGGCAGCUUGCUACACGAGUAUUGACACUGAGGCACGAAAGCGUGGGGAUCAAACAGGA
rnacentral:rRNA from 1 species